rnacentral:rRNA from 1 species
CAGUAGCCGCGGUAACACGUAGGGUGCAAGCGUUAAUCGGAAUUACUGGGCGUAAAGCGUGCGCAGGCGGUUUGUUAAGACAGAUGUGAAAUCCCCGGGCUCAACCUGGGAACUGCAUUUGUGACUGGCAGGCUAGAGUAUGGCAGAGGGGGGUGGAAUUCCGCGUGUAGCAGUGAAAUGCGUAGAUAUGCGGAGGAACACCGAUGGCGAAGGCAGCCCCCUGGGCCAAUAUUGACGCUCAUGCACGAAAGCGUGGGGAGCAAACAGGAUUAGAUACCCCCGUAGUCCCUGUCUCUUAUAC